AGUACGUGAAACCGCUGAGAGGCAAACUGGUGGAGCUGAAAUGGCUUAGAGGAAUUCAGCCGUUGGUUUCGUCAUAAUCAGUGUUGUAUCUGAUCUCACGACAGUGCAGCCGGUUAACGGCGUUGCCAUAGGUGCACUUUCCUCUUUAGCCCAACCACGACCGGUAUGCACUUGAUUGUCCAUCCUAUCUGGAAGGUAGCGCCGGCUUCGGUCAGCGUAUUAUAGACAGAUUUAUGGAGCGAUUGGUGUACUGGAACAUAAUGCCUGCCUUCAUGGCUCAUACGUUGGUUGUUUUGUGAAUGUAUUCUGAUUUCACUACUUCGGUAGGGGAGUUGGAGUCAUUCGCUUUACAGUUGGCCUCUGUGAUUGGCAUUGAUAUAGUCUGUGGUUGUGAAGUAGGUAGUCCACCUGACCCGUCUUGAAACACGGACCAAGGAGUCUAACAUGUGCGCGAGUCAUUGGGUUCUACGAAACCUAGAGGCGCAGUGAAGGUAAAGAUUCACAUUGGUGAAUUGAGGUGGGAUAUUGGGUUACGUGCUCAAUCGCACCACCGGCCCGUUCCAUUUGUAUCUCAAAGGAGCGGAGCAAGAGCGUACACGUUGGGACCCGAAAGAUGGU
rnacentral:rRNA from 1 species